GCCUGCAUAGAUCAGUGGCUAGAUCGCCUUCCAAAUUUAGCUGGUGAUAAAGCUCUAUGUAGGAGACGGAGGUUCGAAUCCUCCUGCGGGCA